CAGUAGCAAUACUGUGGGUGGCGAGUGGCGGACGGGUGAGUAAUGCAUCGGGACCUGCCCAGACGUGGGGGAUAACGUAGGGAAACUUACGCUAAUACCGCAUACGUCCUACGGGAGAAAGCGGGGGAUCGAAAGACCUCGCGCGGUUGGAUGGACCGAUGUUCGAUUAGCUUGUUGGUGAGGUAACGGCUCACCAAGGCGACGAUCGAUAGCUGGUCUGAGAGGAUGAUCAGCCACACUGGGACUGAGACACGGCCCAGACUCCUACGGGAGGCAGCAGUGGGGAAUAUUGGACAAUGGGCGAAAGCCUGAUCCAGCAAUGCCGCGUGUGUGAAGAAGGCCUUCGGGUUGUAAAGCACUUUUAUCAGGAGCGAAAUACUGCCGGCUAAUACCCGGUGGGGCUGACGGUACCUGAGGAAUAAGCACCGGCUAACUUCGUGCCAGCAGCCGCGGUAAUACGAAGGGUGCAAGCGUUAAUCGGAAUUACUGGGCGUAAAGCGUGCGUAGGCGGUUCUUUAAGUCUGCUGUGAAAUCCCCGGGCUCAACCUGGGAAUGGCAGUGGAUACUGGAGAGCUAGAGUGUGAUAGAGGAUGGUGGAAUUCCCGGUGUAGCGGUGAAAUGCGUAGAGAUCGGGAGGAACAUCAGUGGCGAAGGCGGCCAUCUGGAUCAACACUGACGCUGAGGCACGAAA
rnacentral:rRNA from 1 species